rnacentral:rRNA from 1 species
AAUUCGAUGCUACACGAAGAACGUUACCAGGGUUUGACAUGCAAGUGGUAGGAACCGAAAGGCGACCGACCUUCGGGAGCUUGCACAGGUGCUGCAUGGCUGUCGUCAGCUCGUGUCGUGAGAUGUUCGGUUAAGUCCGCUAACGAGCGCAACCCUCGCUGUGUGUUACAAGUGUCACACGGGUACUGCCGGUCUUAAGCCGGAGGAAGGUGGGGAUGACGUCAAGUCAGCAUGGCCUUUAUGUCCUGGGCUACACACACGCUACAAUGGCCAACACAAUAGGUUGCUAAGCCGCGAGGUGGAGCCAAUCCUCAAAGUUGGUCUCAGUUCAGAUUGCAGGCUGCAACCCGCCUGCAUGAAGAUGGAGUUGCUAGUAACCGCAGGUCAGCUAUACUGCGGUGAAUACGUUCCCGGGGCUU